rnacentral:sRNA from 2 species
CAAGAAUCCAGAACUCACUUCGCCCUUGAAACCUGUCCAGCGACGGCUCAAUUAAGCUCUAAAUCCCGACGUUAACCUAACAAAAGACGUGUGGGAAGUAUUCUUCCUCCUGCAGUUACUCCGUCGACUCGACUGGCCCGCGAUGUCUUCCAGAUACACCUUCAACAAGAGCUUGAAGGAGCUGCGGUUUCUCUUCUGCAACUCCUCUCCCCAUAGCGAUGCGACGAGGGCUUUCCUAAAGCGAGCAUACCCAACGAUGAAGAAGAACAACCCAUUCAUACCUAUCAUGAUGCGGGAGGCAUUGGAUACCGAACCAAGAGUGUUUGCGAGAUAUGAAAUGGGAAGGGAGAAACAAGAGCCUCUCAUAGGCUUAACGGAUAAGGAAAUUGAGGAGAAGGUUACAGCUUUGGUGAAGGGCUCAAUAUAGCCCGCCUACUAUAAAUCACCUUUCCCUGGGCGCAUUUUCUGUACAUAUAUAUCUACACACACGACCAAAUAGAAAAAUGGCUUCUUCUACAUUCAAGAAAGACAUUAUGCUUCUAGUAUCCAACAUUCAAAAGGCAUACUAUACUUCUCUCUCUGAGAACACGAAACCAGCUGGGAGUGACUGGGAGUGGACGGGAAAAGGUUGCUCCCCAUCUCCCACUUCACAAACAUAAGCAAUUAGGUGAAGAACCAAAACCAGAAACAAAAUACAUUAUCCCGCAAUUUCAAACUCAUCUCACUCCGCGCCAAUCUCCCCAAACCUAAACUGCGCCCAACUCAUGCUCCCUUCCUUCAAAGUCCACAGCCGCUUCCCCACAUCGUCCCCUGCAGCUCCUGCACCCACAUGGAUAGGCAGCAAAUGGUCAAACGUGGGAUGAGCCUGCCGUGCAUCCCCGCGCUUCAGCAGAUCAGCCAAUGCCUUCUCCCUCUGGGCUGGUGGCGUCGUGACAGCGUCCCUCAGCGCUUCGUCAAAACUGGCAGUGUACGGCAUUGGCGUCGAGUCCCCAAACGUAAACCGGAGGUCCCGCAGGUUGUGGACUGCCAUUCCAGAAACGAUGAUCUGGAUGUUCUCCUCGCGGAGUUUGGCGAUGGCUUGGCCCAGGCGGUAGUGCUGGAUGGGAUCUUCGGUUUUGAAGAGGGAGACUUGGACGAUGGGCACGUUCAGGGGGUUGUGGUCCGGGUCGAAUGCUAAUAGGUGACAAUAAACAGUUCACUCGUCCGCUAAGGUCUUCACAAAGGAAGGCCGCUAGAAGGCGAGAGAAAGGGGUUAAACAUUGAAGACCUACCACACUUAAAACUAGCCCAAACACCAUGAUCAAGCCCUCUCUUCACCCCCUCCGCUUUCAUCCCCGCUCCCCUAAUAGCGUCGAUUACCUUCUGCGCGACCUGCCUACUCCCGACAUUCGGAAACUUCUCCUCAUAAUAAUGGCUAGGGAAUCCGUAAAAGCUAUGUAUAAUUUUCCGCUUUAGCUCAGGACAAGCAGGGAUGCAAUUUCUCCUUACGCAACCACCUCCUUUUUCCCUCGCCAUUAAGAGAGUGAAAUGUUUUGCCCAAUUUUUUUGCCCAAUGAAUCAGGCAUAGAGCAACUCUCAGGCUGCAGGAAAGAGGUCAGCGAAAGGGAAACAGGAGAAUGAAAAACGUACUCAUAUAUCAGCUCCGUGAUCUCAGCAUUGUUCACUUCAACAGUAUCUCGCGACGCUUGCCAAUGGGCGGAGAAAACAACCACGGCACGAGGCUUCACCUUGGUGGUGAUUUCGUGCCCAAUUUCCUGCAGCUUGCGAUAGGCGGGAUGGUUCUGGUCAUACAUAAUAUCUGGCCCUCCAUGACUUAGAAAAUAAACCGGCGUCCUGGCCGAUGGCGCCAUUGCGACCUCAGCGCUCACUCCCGUGCUCGUGCUCGUGCUCGUGCUUGUGCUCACUACGAUCUUCUUCCCCUCUCCUUCAACAGAAUAGCCCCUCGUGCGCAGAAGCGUGAUGUGAAAGGGUGCCGCAGGAUUCAGGAACGUCGUCCGCACAGAUGCUGUCAGAAUGAUGAGAGUCGAGGAUGGCACGGCGAUGUACGAUAUCAAGAUUCCUAGGAGGAGAGGAAGGAGGAAGAGUGCUAGGUUAUUGAUGCUGCGUUGGUGGGGAACAGUGGUGGAGGACAGUGGUGG